UACGUAGGGUGCAAGCGUUAAUCGGAAUUACUGGGCGUAAAGCGUGCGCAGGCGGUUUUGUAAGUCUGGCGUGAAAUCCCCGGGCUCAACCUGGGAAUGGUGAUGGAGACUGCAAGGCUAGAAUCUGGCAGAGGGGGGUAGAAUUCCACGUGUAGCAGUGAAAUGCGUAGAGAUGUGGAGGAACACCGAUGGCGAAGGCAGCCCCCUGGGUCAAGAUUGACGCUCAUGCACGAAAGCGUGGGGAGCAAACAGG
rnacentral:rRNA from 1 species